GUGCUCGCUGCGCAGCACAUUUACUAAAAUGGAAUGAUUCAGAGAGAAGAUUAGCAAGGUCCCCGCACAAGGAUGACAUGCAAAUUCAUGAAAUGUUCUGUUUUCUU
rnacentral:snRNA from 1 species